AGAGAAGGGUGGAGAAAUGAGAGGGGGAGCCUAAAAAGAGAGAAGGAAAGGCUGAGACAGAAUGAGGCUUUGGAGAUUCAGAAAAGCGAUUUCGUCCAUCAGGCUGUGGAUAUGCUUUUGGAGCUCAGUGGGGGCAGCGCCGCCUCCUCUGCGCCUUCUGCUCCUCCAUCAGGCAGCCCUUGGCGUCCUCCCGCCUCAGCACCUCCUCUUCUUAGCGUGCUUGCAGGUUGUGCAGGGUCUUCUCCAGCCCUUUCGCGCUCUCCCUGGAGCGCCUGCUUCUCCUCGGUAGCGUCCCCCCGCCAGGCGCAGGUGGCUAAUCUCCUGUUCCUACAGCGCCUGGAAGCUGGAUGGCUCCGAAUGUUUCUGGCACAGCACCAGCAGCUCGGCUUCCAGCAGCUUGUUCUGCUGCUCCAGCUCUUGCACGCCCUCGAAGAAGCUGGCAAAGCGGUCUUUGAUGUUCUGGAGCUGCACCUUCUCCCUCCUGAGUGCGGAUGGACUUGAGGUCGUUGCUAAUGGCUGCUACCUGGCUCAGGUCUAGGUUCUCCAGGCUGUGCAUCAAGGAGCCAGAAAUGGAUGAGUAGCUGCGGCGCACGGAGAGCCAGGAGGACACAGGGGCCAAGUAGUUGGAGCUCAAAAAUGAAGAGGUAGAACGCAAGAUCCACACGACAUUCAGGAUCAUGGAAAGACAUUUGCUCUGGUGCUUACAUCAUGUGCAGAAACUGAUUUAGGGUUGUGAAAUAAAACAUGGGGAAAGCCAUUGGUUUUGCCUAGGCUUUGAAAUAGAAUAAACAGACCAAAUCAGCAUGGAGUCCCAUCUCAGCAGCUGAGUGCUAUGGAUCUCAAAUGGCCCUAAAAGCCAUGGGCUGCAGGUUGGGUUGCCAGGCUGUGUUACCAUGGAGAGGUGGGAGAAACCUCAGGAGGCAACUUCAGGUAGAAACACAUUGGAGAGCAUUAGUUCUUUGGGAUUAUGUGCUUAAAGGGAAUGUUGGGGUCCUGACCUUUCUUCUCUGGUCUCUUUUUGCCUCCUGGCUACCAUGAUGUGAGAAGUUUUAUUCAACCACUUGCUCACCAUGAUGUUCAGCUUUACCACGGAGCCAAAGGGAUGAGACCCAGGGAUCAUGGACUGAAACCUCUGAAACUCCUUUGAAGUUGGUUAAGUCAAGUAUUUUGUCACAGCAAUGGGAAGUUAACACUGAGUUUCAGUUCAUGUGGAAACUUUAAAAUCACUUCAGCUGUAAACAAUUGUCUUUUUACCUCAUUUCUGUUUUCUAUAAAUGCUGGCUAAUUAUGUUAUUGUCCACUGUUCUUAGAUUCUGUUCUGAUUCUGAAGGCUACCUGAUUUACAAAUCAUUUUUGUUAGUUUUUUAAAUAAACUCAUUUUUAAUUAAUCUCA